AAGCUCGUAGUUGAAUUUCGGGACCAUCAUGUCGGUCGUGCCUCGGUACGUACUGGUAUUGUUGGUUUCUCCCUUCUGACGAACCAUGAUGUCAUUUAUUUGGUGUUGUGGGGAAUCAGGACUGUUACUUUGAAAAAAUUAGAGUGUUUAAAGCAGGCUCACGCUUGAAUACAUUAGCAUGGAAUAAUGAAAUAGGACGUUUGAUUCUAUUUUGUUGGUUUCUAGGAUCGACGUAAUGAUUAAUAGGGAUAGUUGGG
rnacentral:rRNA from 1 species